AGUGGUAUAUCUGGGUCAAAUGGAGGUUCCAUUCCAAGUUUCCAAGGAAUCCCCAUACUGCUUUCUAGAUUGGCUGCACCAAUUUGCAGUCCCACGAGCAAU
rnacentral:pre_miRNA from 1 species